UACGAAGGGGGCUAGCGUUGCUCGGAAUCACUGGGCGUAAAGGGCGCGUAGGCGGCCAUUUAAGUCGGGGGUGAAAGCCUGUGGCUCAACCACAGAAUUGCCUUCGAUACUGGAUGGCUUGAGACCGGAAGAGGUAAGUGGAACUGCGAGUGUAGAGGUGAAAUUCGUAGAUAUUCGCAAGAACACCAGUGGCGAAGGCGGCUUGCUGGGCCUCACCUGACGCUGAGGAGCGAAAGCGUGGGGAGCGAACAGG
rnacentral:rRNA from 1 species